UACCCUUACUUCAGUGAGUUACUUGCUGUUUCUUUGAAAUGUAUUUGGAUAUAAUUUGUUUUUGUAUGUAAUCUGUAUUUGCAUAAAUGAAACUAUAGCAAAUGCUGAAUGCGAAUAUUAUUUAAGCAACUAUUUAUAUAUAAAUAUGCAGUUUACCUUUCUGGUUUGUGUGUGUCUCAGGUGCUGAGGUUGGUGAUGAUGAUGAAGAAGAUGGUGGUGGGGCAGAUGAUGUGGUUUCUGAUGCUGGUGAGGGUGAAGAUGGUGAAAGUGUUGGUAUGGUUGAUGAAGGUGAAGAUGAGGGUGAUUGAGAAGUUGAAGAUGAGGAUGUUGAAGAAAAUGCUGAGGUUCGGUCCUCUAGUGCCAUCUAGUGACACCAUUUUCACACCAGGAGUAUUAAACAAACACGUGGAGGAAGACCAGGUAAUAAUGAUUAACUACUAUUCUCAAUAAUUCUAAUAUAUUUGACUUCAUGUAAUCAGCGAUGUUUCUUGCUGAUGUUUAGCACUCGUAGACUGCAGUCUUCACAUUGCUGUCUUAGUCAUAAAGGGUACCAAGGGGCCCAAAGUGUGCUAAGGAAAUAUCCCCCACACCAUUAAACCACCACCACCAGCCUGAACCGUUGAGACAAGGCAGGAUGGAUCCAUGCUUUCAUGUUCUUUACACCAAAUUCUGACUCUACCAUCUGAAUGUCGCAGCAGAAAUCGAGACUUAUCAGACCAGGCAAUGUUUUCCCAAUCUUCUAUCGUCCAAUUCUGGUGAUCCUGUGCAAAUUGUAGCCUCCGUUUCCUGUUCUUAGCUGACAGGAGUGGCACCCGGUGUGGUCUUCUGCUGCUGUAGCAGAAGACCACACCGGGUUACCAAGCAAUAGAAUAGGUAAUAAAGUGGCUGGUGAGUGUAUAUAUAAUUUUGAA
ensembl:lncRNA